rnacentral:rRNA from 1 species
ACGGGGGGUGCAAGCGUUAUUCGGAAUCAUUGGGCGUAAAGGGCGCGUAGGCGGUCUUUUAAGUCAGAUGUGAAAGCCCUCGGCUUAACCGAGGAAGUGCAUUUGAGACUAAGAGACUUGAGUAUGGGAGAGGGAAGCGGAAUUCCUGGUGUAGCGGUGAAAUGCGUAGAUAUCAGGAGGAACACCGGUGGCGAAGGCGGCUUCCUGGACCAAUACUGACGCUGAGGCGCGAAGGCGUGGGGAGCAAACAGGAUUAGAUACCCUGGUAGUCCACGCAGUAAACUGUGAACACUAGGUGUAGCGGGUAUUGACCCCUGCUGUGCCGAAGCUAACGCAUUAAGUGUUCCGCCUGGGAAGUACGGCCGCAAGGUUA